rnacentral:ncRNA from 1 species
GACUUGAUUAGAUUGAGCCUUGGUAUGGAAACCUGCUAAGUGGUAACUUCCAAAUUCAGAGAAACCCUGGAAUGAAAAAUGGGCAAUCCUGAGCCAAAUCUUUAUGUUAAGAAAACAAAGGAUAGGUGCAGAGACUCAAUGGAAGCUGUUCUAACAAAUGGAAUUGACGUUGACUACGUUGCGUUGGUAGCUGGAAUCCCUCUAUCGAAAUUACAGAAAGAAAGGAUGACCCUAUAUGCGUAUAUAUACAUACUGACAUAUCAAACGAUUAAUCACAACUCAAAUCUGGAAUCCAUAUUAAUAACUAUAUAUAUAGAUAUUAUAGUUAUUAUUAUCUAUAUUUUCUUUAUAUAUUUAAUAAAGAUAUAUUUUUUUAUAAAUUUAUAGAUUAAUUAAGAGUUAUUAUAAAUAUAUUCCAGUCGAAGUUGAAGGAAGAAUCGAAUAUUCAGUGAUCAAAUCAUUCAUUCCGGGGUCGGAUAGAUCUUUUGAAAAAAUGAUUAAUCGGACGAGAAUAAAGAGAGAGUCCUGUUCUACGUGUCAAUACCGACAGCAAUGAAAUUUAUAGUAUUAGGAAAAUCCGUCGACUUUAGAAAUCGUGA